rnacentral:lncRNA from 1 species
AAAUGGGGAAUGGGCUAUCAGACCAGACUUCUAUCCUGUCCAACCUGCCUUCAUUUCAGUCCUUCCACAUUGUUAUUCUGGGUUUGGACUGUGCUGGAAAGACAACUGUCUUAUACAGGCUGCAGUUCAAUGAAUUUGUAAAUACCGUACCUACCAAAGGAUUUAACACUGAGAAAAUUAAGGUAACCUUGGGAAAUUCUAAAACAGUCACUUUUCAUUUCUGGGAUGUAGGUGGUCAGGAGAAAUUAAGGCCACUGUGGAAGUCAUAUACCAGAUGCACAGAUGGCAUUGUGUUUGUUGUGGACUCUGUUGAUGUCGAAAGGAUGGAAGAAGCCAAAACUGAACUUCACAAAAUAAAUAGGAUAUCAGAAAAUCAAGGAGUCCCUGUACUUAUAGUUGCUAACAAACAAGAUUUGAAGAACUCAUUGUCUCUUUCAGAAAUUGAGAAAUUGUUAGCAAUGGGUGACCUGAGUUCAUCAACUCCUUGGCAUUUGCAGCCUACCUGUGCAAUCAUAGGAGAUGGCCUAAAGGAAGGACUUGAGAAACUACAUGAUAUGAUCAUUAAAAGAAGAAAAAUGUUGCGGCAACAGAAAAAGAAAGA